ACAAAACUCCGUUUAGAAAUUUUACCGAAAUUUUACAGUUUUAAAACUAAUCUUACGUCGGCCUAAGGAUUCAACUGCGACGUUUUAACCACGCGACUGGGUCUUAUUCUAGAUUCGGCGUACGUACGGCACACAGAGACUCACAUUUUACGAUAUUUUAGUAGCCGGAAAUGUGAGGUUCAAGUUCAAGUUGUUUUGCACGCCUUCAUCCCAAAAUAUCGUGGACGAGUGUUUUGCUAUAUCUGGAUUUUGCCGGAAUGAUGUUCGACUGUCAUGCGUAUGCCAAAGGUCUUAAUAGUCUCCAAAUGUGCCGCGACUCACAAUAUGAAAAUUGAAACUAGCCACUGACAUUUAUUCGUGGAGUUUGGACUACGCGCCUCAGUCGCGGGAGAACAAGCUACCGGGUUCGGGGUAUGAUGUUAGAUAAACCGCUGACCCGUGCACCCAAGUGUUCUUCCCGUUUCGUGUAUUUCACCGGAGCAGCAAAGCAAACAUGUCGACAGGGUUCCCCAGGGGUCCAUCCUAGGUCCCCCUUCAUUCUCCAUCUGCAUGGCUAUGCAACUGUCUAUCACGCGUGUUCCAGUAAGACCAGUUAAACUCACUAAGCAAGAAGAGCCUCCUGCAAGUAGGAAGCCGCCUUGUCGGCGAGCAUCCACCCUGUUCUUGAGAAAUACUGACUUCCUACCAGCUGCCGGAUCCUGAUCUGGAGUUGAGUCUGACCUCUGAACUACCACGGCAUCUCUGUUGGGCUAAGGUCUCGGCUCCGACCGGGCCCCUCCAGAAAGAGGACUUCCUUCAUCUGAAGUCAUUCUGUAGUAGAGUUACUUUCAUGUUUGGGGUCAUUCUCCUGCCGUCUCACCCAACUUUAACUGAGCUUCAGCUGGCAGACAGCCGACCUGACAUUAUCCUGUAAUACCUGGAUAAACUUGGGAAUUAAUUUUCCCCUCGAUGAUGGCGAGCUGUCCAGGCCCAGAGGCAGCAAAUCAGGAGAUCAGUAUCGGAUUACAUAGUUUUUCCAAGGAAACUUCCUAAGAAAUGACAGAUCCAUAAAAUCAAGACCUGGAUUGUUCUGGUUCUCCUGGGAAUCCACGGCGGCAGGUGUCCACAUUGUCCAGAAAUUGGCUGUGAGUGGGAGGCUGAGACUAAAGAGGUUCAUGGUUACGAUCGGUGCGGGUAUGAUGGAGAAGACUUUAUAGCGCUGGACUUGCAGACACUGACAUGGAUCCCUCCUAAACAGCAGGCCUUCAACACCAAAAUGAUGUGGGAUA